UACAGAGGGUGCAAGCGUUAAUCGGAAUUACUGGGCGUAAAGCGUGCGUAGACGGUAGCGUAAGUCGGGUGUGAAAGCCCCGGGCUCAACCUGGGAAUUGCAUUCGAGACUGCUCUGCUAGGGUGCGGAAGAGGGGAGCGGGAUUUCCGGUGUAGCGGUGAAAUGCGUAGAUAUCGGAAGGAACACCAGUGGCGAAAGCGGCUCCCUGGUCCAGCACCGACGUUCAGGCACGAAAGCGUGGGGAGCAAACAGG
rnacentral:rRNA from 1 species